rnacentral:rRNA from 1 species
GACAGAGGGUGCAAACGUUGUUCGGAAUUACUGGGCGUAAAGCGAGUGUAGGCGGUCUUAUAAGUCGGGUGUGAAAGCCCCGGGCUCAACCCGGGAAGUGCACUCGAAACUGUGAGGCUAGAGUAUCGGAGAGGUUGGUGGAAUUCUCGGUGUAGAGGUGAAAUUCGUAGAUAUCGAGAGGAACACCGGUGGCGAAGGCGGCCAACUGGACGAAUACUGACGCUGAGACUCGAAAGCGUGGGGGAGCAAACAGG